UGGGGAAUCUUCCGCAAUGGACGAAAGUCUGACGGAGCAACGCCGCGUGAGUGAAGACGGCCUUCGGGUUGUAAAGCUCUGUUAUACGGGACGAACGGGCGAGAGGUUAAUACCCUUUCGUUGUGACGGUACCGUAAGAGAAAGCCACGGCUAACUACGUGCCAGCAGCCGCGGUAAUACGUAGGUGGCAAGCGUUGUCCGGAAUUAUUGGGCGUAAAGGGUGCGCAGGCGGUCUCUUAAGUCUGUCUUAAAAGUGCGGGGCUUAACCCCGUGAGGGGACGGAAACUGGGAGACUGGAGUAUCGGAGAGGAAAGCAGAAUUCCUAGUGUAGCGGUGAAAUGCGUAGAUAUUAGGAGGAAUACCAGUGGCGAAAGCGGCUUUCUGGACGACAACUGACGCUGAGGCACGAAAGCCAGGGGAGCGAACGGG
rnacentral:rRNA from 1 species